rnacentral:rRNA from 1 species
AUUGAACGCUGGCGGCAUGCCUUACACAUGCAAGUCGAACGGCAGCGCGGGAGCAAUCCUGGCGGCGAGUGGCGAACGGGUGAGUAAUACAUCGGAACGUGCCCAAUCGUGGGGGAUAACGCAGCGAAAGCUGUGCUAAUACCGCAUACGAUCUACGGAUGAAAGCAGGGGAUCGCAAGACCUUGCGCGAAUGGAGCGGCCGAUGGCAGAUUAGGUAGUUGGUGGGGUAAAGGCUCACCAAGCCGACGAUCUGUAGCUGGUCUGAGAGGACGACCAG